rnacentral:lncRNA from 1 species
ACCAUUCUUCCUUAACAUCGUCCAACAUCUAAUUACAUAAGCAACUUUCUAUCAUCUUAUUUACACCAACAACUUGACAAUGGAGGAAUUUAUAUAAUGGCUUACAAGAGCUUUGUAAGAAACACAAUACCUCCUUUUAAUUGCACAAAAUUAACAAAAUUAAUAUGUAGAUAACCAACGAUAAUACAAUAUCUUUCAAAAUAAUAAUCAGGUGUUACUUUCCAAUGCCAACUUUCUUCUUACUAUAUCAAUCCAAGUCUAUAAAUUAACACUUU